rnacentral:rRNA from 1 species
GCAAGUCGAGGGGCAGCACGGUUUUCGGACUGGUGGCGACCGGCGCACGGGUGCGUAACGCGUAUGCAACCUACCCUUUACUGGGGGAUAGCCCGGGGAAACUCGGAUUAAUACCCCAUAGUAUUAUUGAAUCACAUGAUGAUAUAAUUAAAGAUUUAUUGGUAGAGGAUGGGCAUGCGUAUGAUUAGCUAGUUGGUGAGGUAACGGCUCACCAAGGCGAUGAUCAUUAGGGGGUCUGAGAGGAUGAUC